rnacentral:lncRNA from 1 species
GGCCUAUUUCACAGCCACAUUAUUAUUAAGAACUAUUAGCUGCUUCUGAACCAUUUCCUCUCGUUUCAGCGGAGGAUUCUUCCCAGAACAAGACUACGACCCCUACGGCCCUGACCAGACCCGGAUCAGUCCGGACACUCGGUUCAGUCCAGACUCCAGUUUCAUUCCAGAUGGUUCCAGAUUUAGCCCUGAGACUCGGUUUAGUCCAGACGGGUCCAGGUUAAGCCCUGAGACUCGGUUUAGUCCAGACGGGUCCAGGUUCAGUCCAGACUCCAGGUUCAGUCCGGACUCCAGGUAUAGUCCAGACUCCAGCUUCAAUCCAGACUCCAGGUUCAGUCCGGACUCUAGGUUCAGUCCGGACUCCGGGCCGUUCCUGGUCCCUCCUGACCCCAGAUCGGAGCAGGCCUUCGAGGUGCAGCCGCCUCCGGCCUCAGACCCGUCGCUCUACACUGAGGCUGAGGAGCAGGACUGGAGAGGCUUCCCCCCUUCACCCGACCGGGACCUCGGAGAGUCUACGACAGGCGGUUUGAAGCUGCAGCAGAGGAUUGUGGGAUCGUCAACGGCUGCGUGA